rnacentral:tRNA from 1 species
AUUUAAAUAGUUUAACUAAAAAUAUUGAUUUGUGGUGUCAAUGAUAUGAUUUUUCAUUUUAGAUC